UAUACAUGCAGUCGAGCGAACAGAAGGGAGCUUGCUCCCGGAUGUUAGCGGCGGACGGGUGAGUAACACGUGGGUAACCUGCCUGUAAGACUGGGAUAACUCCGGGAAACCGGAGCUAAUACCGGAUAGUUCCUUGAACCGCAUGGUUCAAGGAUGAAAGACGGUUUCGGCUGUCACUUACAGAUGGACCCGCGGCGCAUUAGCUAGUUGGUGGGGUAAUGGCUCACCAAGGCGACGAUGCGUAGCCGACCUGAGAGGGUGAUCGGCCACACUGGGACUGAGACACGGCCCAGACUCCUACGGGAGGCAGCAGUAGGGAAUCUUCCGCAAUGGACGAAAGUCUGACGGAGCAACGCCGCGUGAGUGAUGAAGGUUUUCGGAUCGUAAAGCUCUGUUGUUAGGGAAGAACAAGUGCGAGAGUAACUGCUCGCACCUUGACGGUACCUAACCAGAAAGCCACGGCUAACUACGUGCCAGCAGCCGCGGUAAUACGUAGGUGGCAAGCGUUGUCCGGAAUUAUUGGGCGUAAAGGGCUCGCAGGCGGUUUCUUAAGUCUGAUGUGAAAGCCCCCGGCUCAACCGGGGAGGGUCAUUGGAAACUGGGAAACUUGAGUGCAGAAGAGGAGAGUGGAAUUCCACGUGUAGCGGUGAAAUGCGUAGAGAUGUGGAGGAACACCAGUGGCGAAGGCGACUCUCUGGUCUGUAACUGACGCUGAGGAGCGAAAGCGUGGGGAGCGAACAGGAUUAGAUACCCUGGUAGUCCACGCCGUAAACGAUGAGUGCUAAGUGUUAGGGGGUUUCCGCCCCUUUAGUGCUGCAGCUAACGCAUUAAGCACUCCGCCUGGGGAGUACGGUCGCAAGACUGAAACUCAAAGGAAUUGACGGGGGCCCGCACAAGCGGUGGAGCAUGUGGUUUAAUUUCGAAGCAACGCGAAGAACCUUACCAGGUCUUGACAUCCUCUGACAACCCUAGAGAUAGGGCUUUCCCUUCGGGGACAGAGUGACAGGUGGUGCAUGGUUGUCGUCAGCUCGUGUCGUGAGAUGUUGGGUUAAGUCCCGCAACGAGCGCAACCCUUGAUCUUAGUUGCCAGCAUUUAGUUGGGCACUCUAAGGUGACUGCCGGUGACAAACCGGAGGAAGGUGGGGAUGACGUCAAAUCAUCAUGCCCCUUAUGACCUGGGCUACACACGUGCUACAAUGGACAGAACAAAGGGCUGCGAGACCGCAAGGUUUAGCCAAUCCCAUAAAUCUGUUCUCAGUUCGGAUCGCAGUCUGCAACUCGACUGCGUGAAGCUGGAAUCGCUAGUAAUCGCGGAUCAGCAUGCCGCGGUGAAUACGUUCCCGGGCCUUGUACACACCGCCCGUCACACCACGAGAGUUUGUAACACCCGAAGUCGGUGAGGUAACCUUUAUGA
rnacentral:rRNA from 1 species